rnacentral:rRNA from 1 species
GUAAGGAAUAUUGGACAAUGGACGCAAGUCUGAUCCAGCCAUGCCGCGUGAAGGAUUAAGGUCCUCUGGAUUGUAAACUUCUUUUAUAAGGGACGAAAAAAGGCUUUUCUAAGUCGUCUGACGGUACCUUAUGAAUAAGCACCGGCUAACUCCGUGCCAGCAGCCGCGGUAAUACGGAGGGUGCAAGCGUUAUCCGGAUUCACUGGGUUUAAAGGGUGCGUAGGCGGGCAGGUAAGUCAGUGGUGAAAUCCUAGAGCUUAACUCUAGAACUGCCAUUGAUACUAUCUGUCUUGAAUAUUGUGGAGGUAAGCGGAAUAUGUCAUGUAGCGGUGAAAUGCUUAGAUAUGACAUAGAACACCUAUUGCGAAGGCAGCUUACUACGCAUAUAUUGACGCUGAGGCACGAAAGCGUGGGGAUCAAACAGGAUUAGAAACCAGGGUAGUCC